GAUGAACGCUGGCGGCGUGCCUAAUACAUGCAAGUCGAACGCAUAGCGAAAGGUGCUUGCACCUUUCAAGUGAGGGGCGAACGGGUGAGGAACACGAGGACAACCUGCCCCAAGGCGGGGGAUAACAUGUGGAAACAGAUGCUAAUACCGAAUAAAACUCAGUGUCGCAUGACCCAAAGUUAAAAGGCGCUUCCGCGUCACCUAGAGAUGGAUCCGUGUUGCAUUAGUUAGUUGGUGGGGUAAAGGCCUACCAAGACAAUGAUGCAUAGCCGAGUUGAGAGGCUGAUCGGCCACAUUGGAACUGAGACACGGCCCAGACUCCUACGGGAGGCUGCAGUAGGGAAUCUUCCACAAUGGGCGAAAGCCUGAUGCAGCAAUGCCGCGUGUGUGAUGAAGGCUUUCGGGUCGUAAAGCACUGUUGUAUGGGAAGAACAGCUAGAAUAGGAAAUGAUCUUAGUUUGACGGUACCAUACCAGAAAGGGACGGCUAACUACGUG
rnacentral:rRNA from 1 species